AUCAGCUUGCACAUCCAUGCAGUCUGAAUCAUGAUCUGCACUGUUUGCUAUUCAGUCAAUCAAUUUUCAGUAAACACUCCUUCAAAUGAUAAAUGGUACUGCCAAAAUUUGAAGAUGGACCAGUCCAUUACAGAAAUUUAGCAUGGUAAGGGUUACGCAGUCCUAUAGUGUUGUUGCCAUGGCUGGCUGCUAGCUUAAUACAGGUUCGACUAUACUAUAUCUUUGUCUAUUUCUAGUCAGAUGUGUGAAGUGUUUUGAUUAUAUUUACUGUAUUGUUAAUGUAGUAGAAGUUUGUAAGGUUUAUGUAGUAUAUAAUACAAUAUAAUAUUUUAUGUAUGAAUUAUUAGGUGAAGGCAUCACCACUGCAGUUUGUUCAAAGAAUUAUUUGCUUGUGGUUUGUAAUAGAAACAAAAAAAAAAUGGAGAAAUUAUUACUGUGGCAAAUUUGUUACCAGUGCAGCCCCUGCUUUGAUGUAUUUAAGAAAUGAUAUAUCCCAAACAGUGAUUUGUCAUUGAAUAAAACAUUCUUUGGAGUUAAGAUGCUAAGGAAUUGUUUAAGAUAUAUUAUUAAUUUUCAAUUUUAACAUGAUAUCAAGGGCUAUUAUUUACACCCUUUGACAACAGUCCCACAAAACUAGCCAGUUUAAUGUGGUUUUAUUUUCCAGCACCCGUUAUGACAUUUAAACACAAUGACAUAAUAAUUGUGACAUAGAAACUAUGAUUUUGUUGCAUUUAUAAUAAUGCAUACUUUCAGUCUUGUCCAUGUAAUAAGAGAAUAGAUCUGUUUAUGUUAGAAUGAUGAAUAACGUUAUUCUGUAUAAAGAUCUGAUAAUUUUAGAAAGGCCACCCUUCAAAGAAGAGGAUUGUUCAUGCUUUGCUCUUGUAGGUCAGUCUGUCUGUUAGUAUACUGUGAAAUCAUUUUUAUUCGCGUAGGACGAAUUUUCGCGUAUUUCGCGCGAGGACCGAUGCGCGAAUUUAAGACUGCGCUAUUAUUAUAUUUUAAUUUUAUUUUUUCAUUUCUAAAAUUGAAAAUGCGCGAAUUAAAGCUGGUGCGAAACAGUCCUUUUUCACAUUUGCGCGAAAUUUCAUGCCAGCGAAUUUAAAUGAUUUCACAGUAAUUAGAUCAUUUAACCAUAAUGAUUGUUGAUCAGUAACUUGAGAAUGCAUGAGAAUAAAUAGGUCAUAAGAUGACCUUUGUUUUAAGGUAAUCAUAAGGUCAAAAGUCAAGGUCACUGACUUCAAGACUUCAAUUGGAUUCUGGUCAAAGUCACUGCAUACUAGUAUUUAAGACUGAAAAAUAUAUACCAAGUUACCUCUGCAAGGCAGUCAUGGGGACAUAUGUGUAACCGUUUUAUAAACAACCUUCGUCAGAACAUUGCUUAUAUUUGUUACUGUGUGUUUAGUAAAUAUAACAUAAUUAUGUAAAUUUAGUAAAGUGCUAGUGAGCAAAUGAGAGUUAUAAAUAAAAGUGCCUUUGAUAACAUGA